rfam:Danio rerio chromosome 4, GRCz11 reference primary assembly.
GCCCGGCUACCUCAGUCGGUAGAGCAUGAGACUCUUAAUGUCAGGGUCGUGGGUUCGAGCCCCACGUUGGGCG